rnacentral:rRNA from 1 species
UGGUCCCUACGGGGCGCAGCAGUGGGGAAUAUUGCACAAUGGGCGAAAGCCUGAUGCAGCAACGCCGCGUGAAGGAAGAAGGGUUUCGGCUCGUAAACUUCUAUUAACAGGGACGAAAGAAAUGACGGUACCUGAAUAAGAAGCCCCGGCUAACUACGUGCCAGCAGCCGCGGGAAUACGGAGGGGGCAAGAGGUAUCCGGAAUUACUGGGUGUAAAGGGUGAGUAGGCGGCAUGGUAAGACAGAUGUGAAAGCCUUGGGCUUAACCCGAGGAGUGCAUUUGGAACUAUCAAGCUAGAGUACAGG